GAAUGAUAUCCUGUAGGUAGCUACCAUUUUGUUUUCAUCAGUGGCAAGAGGCGAGAGCUUCUUCAAAUGUCAGGCAUCACAGUUGUUCAUUUGGCCUUUGUCCAGUAUGCUGCCGCCUUGUGCUUCAGCUUGCUUUUGGUUUUAUCACCCAUUCUGCCUGAGGAUUUGCACGGUAAACAUCUAACAUGUAUGCAUCUGGAUCCAAACAGUGCUGACCUAUAUUUCCUCCAACUUCAUGUAAACUUUGGAUCUGGCUUCUCACAUUCUGUGACAAUCCACGGCUGUUUUCACAGUGGAAUCGAGCCAGGAUGUCUUUGGCUUUUGUUUGGCUGUUGAGUUGAAUUGCCAUAGAGACUUUUGAAUGCAAUGGUGCAUAAACUCUUAUCACCCCCUCGGGUAUGUCAGACUGCAGGUAUGGGGGAAAAGUGACAGCUCCCUCUGGUCUUUCAGGUCUCUCUCUCUCCAUGGUCUUUCUCCUUAGAAGUUUUCUCACUCCUUUGUCAAACAUCAGCUGCCUCUUGCUGUUGUUUAUUGCUGCCUCAUUCAUUUUCCUCACCUGGGAAAUCAGGAAGGAUGGAACUGUCCACAGGAUAUCCUGGUACCGAAUUAAAAGCCGUACAAUGUGUGCAGUGGUGGCAGCUGCUUGCAUUUCUUGUUGGUUUGCACGUUUCCCUUUGUAGAUGAAGAGGUUUGGUGCAACAAUCAUAGAAACAUUCCAC
rnacentral:lncRNA from 1 species